GGCGAUCGCUGCCCUCCGGACCGAAAGGUGUUGGAGGGGGGAGGAAAGUCCGAACUCCGCAGGGCAGUGUGCCGGAUAACGUCCGGGACGGAUGCUUCAAGGCAUCUGGACGGCCAGUGCAACAGAAAACAGACCGCCGACUCGAUCCGCAAGGCUCGAAGGUAAGGGUGAAACGGUGCGGUAAGAGCGCACCGGGUCUCGUGUAAACGAGAUCGCAUGGUAAACCCCACACGGAGCAAGACCAAAUAGGCAGGGAACGCAUCCGCCACUCUCCAGGCGGGCGUGCGCAUCGGCCCGAUGCGUCCAGGCGGAGAGACCCACGGCAUGCCGUGGGAGCCGGAACCUGCGGGUAGGUUGCUGGAGCGCCGCAGUAAUGCGUCGCCUAGAGGAAUGAUCGC
rnacentral:RNase_P_RNA from 1 species